UACGUAGGUGGCAAGCGUUGUCCGGAAUUAUUGGGCGUAAAGCGCGCGCAGGCGGUCCUUUAAGUCUGAUGUGAAAGCCCACGGCUCAACCGUGGAGGGUCAUUGGAAACUGGGGGACUUGAGUGCAGAAGAGGAAAGCGGAAUUCCACGUGUAGCGGUGAAAUGCGUAGAGAUGUGGAGGAACACCAGUGGCGAAGGCGGCUUUCUGGAUCGGCAUUGACGCUGAGGAGCGAAAGCCAGGGGAGCAAACGGG
rnacentral:rRNA from 1 species